rnacentral:tRNA from 1 species
GCCGGGGUGCCGGAGUGGUCAAACGGGCAGCCUUUAAGCGGCUGUGGCUUAGUGCCUACGCAGGUUCGAACCCUGUCCCCGGCA